rnacentral:lncRNA from 1 species
AUAGAUGUUAAAAAAAAUCUAAAAUUUGUUGGGCAAAAACACGCCAGGAGAUCUUGAAGUCCUCUGCCAAACACAAUGUUCCAUUUUCAGGACAUUGUGUCCUGCAGUAGCACCUCUUCUUUUUCAUUUUUAGAGAUGGUGUAAGUCCAGAAUUUUGGGCAAUAUUCUUUAGAAAUUUCAGAAAUAUAUCCUAAAUUUUGGUCUUUGUAUAAAUCUUUUUCUGAAUGAAUAAAUGGGUAAAAUUCAUCAUCACCAGGUCUCCCGAAAAUGAUCCUCUACAGCUGAAACAGCAUUUGUGGCUCCAUAUGGACUCCAGCGGUUUGUUCACUGCUUGUAGAACCACAACUGGGCCUUUAGUGGUGCUCACUCACACAUACACACACAUACACACACAUAUACACAGGCUGGUAACCGCUGUAGCGGUUGCUGCUGGUUCUUUUUUUUAAUGCUUCCAUAUGUUGCUGGUUCUGCUUCUUCCUUGGUGGUUCUCACGUUCACCACAACAAAUUAGGCGACAUGUUCUGGUGGCAGAAGUUAACCAUGAGUGACCUGUUAGGUCGAGUGUUGCUUCGACCAGACUAGGUUUCGGGCAGUAUAUAUUGUCUUUUUAAGUUUUAAUUAAGACGUUUUGUUGCUGUCUUUGGGAAUAUGUGCGCAGUCAUGUUUUGUCGCAGCACACAAGAAACCUCUAGUUUUUACACACUCCUCUUCGUGAUAUUUCUUUUUUUGCACACUAAGCUUCAAACUGCCAGAGGGAAAGCAGUUCUAACAAAGAUUUGCUCCAUUUACUGGCAAUUUUCCAUGACAAGCAUGCACUCAAUCUGCGUUUCAAAUGGGGACACACAGGCCACACUCCACAGCUGCUCAUUCACGCACAAGUCAAAAGAAGUUUACUCACAUUUCCACCAAACCAGACUCCCAAAAUUCCUUUUCCACAACACGAUUCAUGGCCUGUUUCUGCACUCCGCUGCUCUCUCUCCCUAAAACGUGAAGAAAUAUCUAUGUAAAAGGGAGGGAAAACGUUUUAACAAACUUUUUUUUCUUUUCCUGUAAGAGUGUGUCUCUUAGCUCAGAGUGGGACAGGCUGUGCGUUGUGUGUGCCAUUCUUCCCAGUCCUAUUGCAGCCCGCACCACAGGAAACUGCAGGAGCUGAUCCAAGUUCAAAGUCACGUCUGCCGACCCCUAUAAGAAGUUCUUUAUUUCUGUGGAAAAGCACAAAACCUUCCCAGAUAGGGAGGAAAGAGAAAGAAAAUUAAAAAGAGGGAAAAAUCUACCGGGUAUAGGGGCACAUGGCUGCGGGUUUUUUCCUCCUGAGAGGGGGUCUGGGCUAUUGAAAAUCCCCCAAAGACCACUAUUUCAACAGGUUCCAGGAGCAGAUAUGCACACUGGGACAAAGCCAACAGAUGUUUAAAAUAAAUCAUAGAAGAAUAAGGGAAUAAAAAGUGAUCUGAAGUUGGAAAUAUGACGCAAAGAUGAUCAGAAAGGUCUUAAAAGGGGCUUUACGUGUGCGUAACAAGGGGCCCAAACGCCUACGUCUCCUCUGUGUUAUCUGACAAUAUCAAUAUGUUGACACACUGGAAAGUUACUUGUGUGGCUUCCGUGACCUUGUGUUUCAUGGAUGUUUGACCCCUGACCCGUUAAGACCACAUAUGUUGGCCCCUUGACUCCUCUUGGUAAAAUAACCCUGUUUAUGACAAAGCGUCUUUGUUUUAAAGGGAGCGAGGGAGGGAGAGAUAGAGAGAGAAAGAGAGAGAGAGAGAGAGAGACAGAGAGAGAGGGAGUUUAAGGUGUCCCUUUCCUUCGUCUCUCAGGCAUCGACAGCUUUAAGGUCAUUGGGAAGAUAUAAGUCAAUAAAAAUUAACCCUUUCCUUCCAGGAAAUCAAACUCAGCCUCCGUGUCUUCUUAAAUUGUUAAAUAUUUGAAAAUGCGUAAAUUUGGCAGCCACUUUGACCAAGUGGUGUGACUUAUUUUGCGCAAAAUCCCACGUGCAUGCUAGUGACAAAUUCUCCAAAAUUUAAACACUCACUCAGAGUGUGUUAGGUCUCUGUUAACGUGGUGUGUAAUUUAAUGUGGAUGAAUCAGGGGCCCCUGAACAAAUCAUAAACAGUGCACCCACUGCUCCUCUAUGCUGCUUUAUGGCUUUCCAGAAGCUUCCAAUGGAGCUGGGCACAUUUUAUUUAUUUAACUAAAUCCCAGAGACUAUAAACGCUAUACACAUGUGGCGAGGGCUGAUUUUAUUUCGACUUUUGACUAACUUUUAAAUCGUGGUUUAAGGAUAACAAUGUCAGAUUUUGCGCACAGAAGGUGAAAAUAUGUGCAAAUAAAUCAAGCAAAAUUUACCAGUGGGUAAAAACUAUAUUUUCAAAUGAGUUUCAUAAAGCUUAAUUAGUCGCAUAAUUAAUUGUGUACAUUUUUUAAAAACGUAUUUUUAAUAUUUUUUGUGGUGUGACGUUGAAGCUUUCAUUAGUGUCCGUGGCAUGUUCAUAAAUCAUUUGAGGGGCACGUGCAACAGGCCCCUAACGUGUACACCCUUCCCCUUUAACAUGAUGAAAAUCAAUUAUAAACCUGUUCAUGACUUUGUAGAGCUUCCUGGUAGUUAUUUUCUUUACAGAUUUAUCACCGAGGUCAGGUUCUGUUAAAGUUACUCCAACUUUACGCACAGGUUAGGAUGUCGUGAUGCUCUGCUGUCACAUCGAUUGUGAAGGUGAGUGAAUGAAGACAUAUCAGUGACAGAUUCACGUCCUGCUGUCAACAGGAGGGACUCUUCAAAUGGCGUGAUCCGUCACACUGAACUUCAAC